rnacentral:piRNA from 1 species
UAGGACGGAGGUUGUUGCCUAAAAUUGGGAGC